UGCAAUCUCAGGAUUGGAUGGAACCAAUACUUUCUUUUUCUUUUUCUCUUAUUAAAAAGAGAGAGGACUAAAUCAUCCUCACUGCUUGAAGACUGCGUUUUAAGUCUAGCUUGAAUUUUUU